ACGAACGCUGGCGGCAGGCCUAACACAUGCAAGUCGAGCGAGACCUUCGGGUCUAGCGGCGGACGGGUGAGUAACGCGUGGGAACGUGCCCUUUUCUACGGAAUAGCCUCGGGAAACUGAGCGUAAUACCGUAUACGCCCUUUGGGGGAAAGAUUUAUCGGAGAAGGAUCGGCCCGCGUUGGAUUAGGUAGUUGGUGGGGUAAUGGCCUACCAAGCCUACGAUCCAUAGCUGGUUUGAGAGGAUGAUCAGCCACACUGGGACUGAGACACGGCCCAGACUCCUACGGGAGGCAGCAGUGGGGAAUCUUAGACAAUGGGGGCAACCCUGAUCUAGCCAUGCCGCGUGAGUGAUGAAGGCCUUAGGGUUGUAAAGCUCUUUCAGCUGGGAAGAUAAUGACGGUACCAGCAGAAGAAGCCCCGGCUAACUCCGUG
rnacentral:rRNA from 1 species